rnacentral:rRNA from 1 species
GAUGAACGCUAGCUACAGGCUUAACACAUGCAAGUCGAGGGGAAACGCCAUCGAAAGCUUGCUUUUGAUGGGCGUCGACCGGCGCACGGGUGAGUAACGCGUAUCCAACCUGCCCAUCACUUGGGAAUAACCUUGCGAAAGUAAGACUAAUACCCAAUGACAUCCCACGAAGACAUCUGAAUGGGAUUAAAGAUUUAUCGGUGAUGGAUGGGGAUGCGUCUGAUUAGCUUGUUGGCGGGGUAACGGCCCACCAAGGCAACGAUCAGUAGGGGUUCUGAGAGGAAGGUCCCCCACAUUGGAACUGAGACACGGUCCAAACUCCUACGGGAGGCAGCAGUGAGGAAGAUUGGUCAAUGGGCGAGAGCCUGAACCAGCCAAGUAGCGUGCAGGAGGACGGCCCUAUGGGUUGUAAACUGCUUUUAUAAGGGAAUAAAGUGGGUCUCGUGAGACUUUUUGCAUGUACCUUAUGAAUAAGGACCGGCUAAUUCCGUG